CAAACGCUUCCAAAGUAAACCGCUCAAUUCAGCUCUCAGCCAGAAACAGAGACGCGACAGAGCUCAUACCAAGAAAGAAUCUCUUCUUUCUUGCUUCUGGAGCCUUCUAAUUGGAGAAGAGAAAGAGAGAAAAUCAUCAAGCCCAAUAAAGGAACUCAUGGCAAUACGCACUGUCCGAAUUCGUGACAUUGAGCCCUGCCAAAAUAACAUCCAGAUCAGAGUCCGUGUAUGCAGGCGUUGGGAAUCAAAAAAAUACAAACCUGUGGAAAAAAAUGAAGGCCUCCAAUUUAUAUUGGUGGAUGAAAUGGUCAGAUACUUAAUACCCUACUUCAUUUCUGAUUACUAAAUUAAGCAAGAAGAACAUUAAAUUUUUAUAUUUUACAAUUAGAAUGAUGCAAUCCACGGAUUCAUAAGACAAGGGAACUGCGAACUACUCGCAUCCAACAUUGUUCAAGGAAAUAUAUAUGAAAUCAGCCGCUUCUUUACAAGCUACAGCCAGCCAAGCUACAAAAUAGUACCACACCCUGCACAAAUCCAUUUCACUGGCAAGACCAUUAUUAAGCACAUUCCAGAAUUACCAGCCUCUAUUCCACUACAUCACUUCUACUUGAUCGACUACAGUCUUCUUGCCAGCCGUUCAAAGAACGAAACCUCUCAGACAUUUUCGGCAGAAUCAAAAUGAUUCAACCUCCUGAAGAGAAGCUGACAUCUGACAACCGAAUCACGUUGCGAUGUGAGUAUGUGACAUCUACAUGCAGAAUAUACGAAAAGAAGAUGUACAAGUCACUUUGUGGGGAGACGUUGCACGCACAGUUAAUGUUGAUGGUAUUAGGACAACGCCUCCACCUGCACUUGCGGUUUUUACAAGCCUUAAGGUUACCAAGUAUCCAAACAAAAUUGCACUAUCAAACACAGGGAACACCUUCUUUUUCCUGAAUCCAGAUAUCAAAGAGGCUGAGGACUACAAACAUUACUUUGGCGAACCUCAUCAUGCUGCACACAUUUUAUCAAGCCAACCCAAACAACCAAGGACUCCGGCAGAAUUACAGGCUGUCAAACAGAUGUCUGUCUCAGAUUUAAACAUCUGUGAUCCAAACAACUAUAAGAAUAUACCGGUAAAUUGCACAGCGAAGAUAGGCAAAUUUGUGCCAGAAGAAAGGUGGUUCUAUUUAGCUUGCCCAAAAUGCUUCAAGGAAAUGAGGAAAAAGCCACAAAGCCAAUUACUAAUCUGUACAGAACAUGAUAUGCAGCAACCUCUUUACAGAUUCAUAGUAACUGCAUUGAUAACUGAUGAGGCAUCAGCUAUCAUAAAGGGGAAACAAGCGGAGGAACUAUUUGGUACGACAUGUGAGGACCUCAUCCUCAACCAAAUAUACUACCACCAGAAAUUCUCCGAAUAGAGGGCCAAAUCAAACUGCUGGAACUUGAAAUAGGCACUGCACAAAAUGUUAUUGUCAAGGGAAUACAUGAAGAUAUUCGUGGACUAAAUCCAACUCAGAGAAUUCAGCCCUCUAGCUCAACAGCCGACAACAUCCAGCCCUCAAGCUCAACACCCGACAAAGUUGCAACAAAAAAAAAAAGGAACAAUCAAUCGUCUGAGUCUGACAAACAACUUUCCAAAACAUAUCCAACCAAAAAUCUCAAAAUGAAUGACAUCCUCACAGAUUCACUUGAAGACUCAUUUCGAGAAAUUUAACAUAUACAAUAAUAAUGUUAUUUUCAUUUACUACAGGAAUGACAUCCUCACAGAUUCACUUGAAGACUCAUUUCGAGACUCAUCUGAAGACCUGAUGUAAAUAGCUACCGGUCUUCACAUGUCUGAAGACCUAAUGUAAAUAGCUAUCCAUCUUCACAUGUUUUGGCCAAGCCUAACUAUUUUUGGCACAAUGUACAUAAACAACUACUUGGUUAGCAUGCAUAUUUUUGGAAAUCUAGCUAAAUACCAGAU